UAACUUCUUCUUCUGGGUAACAAAUUAAACCUUUAAUUCUGAUCUUCCUCGCCGCAAGGGAACAGCAAACCUCAAUCGAAAUAAUUUCCCGCCAAAAGUCACGUCCAAAUGCUGCGAGACUGAGGACGAUAGGGCUGACUAU